rnacentral:sRNA from 1 species
UUCCUAAUCAAGAAGCCUCGACGAUCG